CUCUGGAAGAGUUCAAUCAAACUUCAUUAGCAAUAAAUCAAACAGCUCAGAUUAACUGUGCAGCUCUUUUUUAAAUUUUUUAUUUGCUUUAUUUCCUCAUUUAUAUAUUUUUAGUCACUGAGAGAAAAUAAAAACUGUCAAGUCUCAAAAUUUUUAUAUAUAAAUUAAUAUUUGGAGGAAGAAGCAGUGAAGAGUUUAGACUGAAAGCUGCUCUCAUCUCAGUUUGUACAUCCUUGAUGCCUUUCCUUGUCUUCUCCUCAUGUCUUAGUCCCUCCCACCUGAUAUGUGAGCGGAGGAGGCAGGAAGAGUAAAGAGGAGGGAGGAGUCAUGGCAACAGGUGUUUAACAAAAUGAGACGUCCAUGUUUCAGAGAUGUUGGUUAAACAUGAAGCAACACAGCUGAGUGUCAAAGACGUGUGUGUGUGUGUGUGUGUGUGUGUGUGUGUGUGUCCUCGCUCCUCUGAUCAGCCUCCUCUCCGCCAGGUGCAGUUUAACAAUUGAGACAUCAUUCAAGAUGGCGAUGGAUCAGGUGAGGAACAAAUGAGGAUCAGGUGAGGAACAGGUGAGGAACAGGCGAGGAUCAGGUGAGGAACAGUGAGGAUCAGGUGAGGAUCAGGUGAGGAACAGGCGAGGAACAGGCGAGGAACAGGUGAGGAACAGGUGAGGAUCAGGUGAGGAACAGGUGAGGAUCAGGUGAGGAACAGGUAAGGGACAGUGAGGAUCAGGCGAGGAACAGGUGAGGAACAGGUAAGGGACAGUGAGGAUCAGGUGAGGAACAGGUAAGGGACAGUGAGGAUCAGGUGAGGAACAGGUGAGGAUCAGGUGAGGAUCAGGCGAGGAACAGGUGAGGAACAGGUAAGGGACAGUGAGGAUCAGGUGAGGAACAGGUGAGGAACAGGUGAGGAUCAGGUGAGGAACAGUGAGGAUCAGGUGAGGAACAGGUGAGGAACAGGUGAGGAACAGGUGAGGAACAGGUGAGGAACAGGUGAGGAACAGGCGAGGAACAGGUGAGGUUUAUUUGAGGUUGUGUGUUUGUACCUUUGAUGUAGAGGCGGAAGGUGGCGUCCUUCAUACAGCCCAGACCCAUCAUCAGUUCAUCAUCAGAGGAGAAC